UUUUUACCAUAAGGUUAGUGCUUGCACGAUGGAGUUACAGUGAUGCACGUGGAUUGUUUUUUUUUGGGUAUAUGCCCGUUGGGUUUUGUUUCAUGGUUGUGUGUAUCUUUUGGUGUAUAGGGCAGGAGUUAUUUAGAAAAUAUAUAUUUUUAAUAUUGAUUUACUCCCUUCAUUCGUAAAUAUAUGACAUUUUGGUAGUUUAAAUAAGGAACGGAUGGAGUAAUAUACUCCUACAAAGCAGGUUUUACUUGAUUUUAAAAAAGACGGUAUCCUCCACAUAGUACUAAUAUUCUUUUAUCUAUUAUACUAAUACAAAAGCAGGGUUGGUCUAGACUUUUGAGGCUGCCUCUAUCGAAUCGAUCGAUUCGAAUCAGAACCACGGCGAGGAAAUGGCACAGCCGCCGCGGUGGCAGGAGAGGCAGCAGCUCGCGCUCCUCUGCGACCUCGUCGCCGACUCCCUCCUCCCCCACCUCGAACCCGAAUCGCUGGCGACGCGGCGGCCGCAGCUCACGCGGGAGGAAGAGCGGUGCGUACUCCUCGCGCUCUCCCGGGUAAAUAAGGCAAUUCGAGGAUGGGAUGACGACAAGGUGGAUGAUGGGGAGCAAGGGUGCGCAUCGGAUCAGAUUGUUUCGUGUUCGGGAGAAGCUCACCGUUGCUCUUUGCCACCGGACCACCAUUUUGAUGAUGGGUUUAGCUGCCUGGCCAAUAUUAUCUCCAUAGUGGUUGGCUCACAUCAUUUAUGUAGUGAUUAUAUUAAGCACUCAGUUGGGAAUAUCUUGGUGGCCAUCUCUAAUUCCCUAAUGAAGUUUGAAGCCGUUUGGGUUCAGUUUGUUGAGCUGGUCUGGGCAGCUAUACACACAGUAUCAACAUGCGCUCAUAAUCAUUCUACAAUUAAUGCCACCAAAGGUUCUGUCGGUUGUUCAUCUGCUGCGGAAAGCAUAAGUCAUGACACUAUGACUAAAAAAAGCACCAGUAUUACAAGCUUUAUAGCAGUACUCAAACUACGAUGUGUCAAUAGCAGUAGGCAGAUAAUGACUUGCCUCUUUCGAGUACUACACAUUAUUCUGAAGCUUCUGAAACUCAAUGACUCUGAACUGAAAGAUGACUUCAUUUGCCUGUCCAUUUAUCAUAUUCAGAAGUUACAUUGGGAUCCUGGUUACCAAUUCAAUGCGGGGAAACUUGUAAGCCUUGUCACGGAUGACCGACAUAGUUUGAGUAAAGAUUCUGCACAGUUUGGAAUUGUGUCAGGCAGUCUCCUCCAGCUCUUGUGCUCUUUAGUUGAGCAAAGUGACACGGAAGACACGGACCGACGAGAUGUAUUUGUGAAACUUGCAGAUGUCAUUCCUAGAUUAGCAACUUACUUACAAGAGCAACAGCAUAUCCCAAAAAGUCUCUCUCAGUAUUCAAAGCACAAAAUAUUGAUGUUAAUGAUAAGGCUUAAGCCUCACAUACAGCAGAACUGCUCACAUAUUGUUUGUUUGCUGAAAUUACUUCGACGCCACUUUCAGAGUCUACUCCAUGAACCUAUGUUCCAACAUAGAACUAAACUGGAGAAUUGUUUAGAGGGAUCCCCAUUUUUGUUGAGUGGUGUAGGUUUGGGCGAGCUUCAGGAUAAAUCUACCCGGCACUUAAAAAGACAGGCUAUGUAUUUGUUUCUUAGUUGUUCGAUAUUCUUGGCUUGCAGUGGAAAUGAUAGUAGACUGAAUUGUUCAUGCAAGAGAGAUCACAAAGAGCAAGGCUGCACUGAUAAUUGCAACUAUUUUGGCUUGUCAGAAAUCUCGGUUUGGUUUCAGAGAUGUUGCUUAGACGAGAUUUUGGACUCAAAAUCAUCAACAGAUAUUGUUUUAUGCUUUCUGCAGUUAUAUAUGGAGGAGGACGAUAUGUUAUUCAUCAUUCUCUUGCAGCUUUUGGAUGCUCCACUUAUUUCGUUGGCAAUAGAUAAGAUGGAAACUAAAUGGACGUCUGAACUGAUUGGUGCCAAACUGUUCUCCACCAUUUUUGACCCAGUUUAUAUUUUUCAUCAAUGGCUUUCAUUGCUACACUAUGAUCACUUGGUACUUGUUGAUUAUCUCAUAGCUAAAGAUGUAGGUGUGCAUUGUGCCCAAUAUCUAUUACGGUGCCUACGACUGGUAUCCAGGUGUUGGGAUGCUUUUGUUGACGACUCAGUUUACGAGGCGCAAAUACAAAAACUCAACUGUAAAAGGCAAAGAAUCUUCAAAAAUAUAAAUAGUUUCACUGGUAGCUCAAUGGAAGGCACCAAGUUAGGUUCCGCUCAUGACAAGGAAAGUAAGAGGAAAGAACCACUUUUCCUGAGUGCUAAAGUAUGUCUCCUUUCGUUAAAGAGAACAUUGGAAGAUCUUCAUAAGAAAGAUUUAUUCCCUUACAAUCCAAAGCCUCUCCUUAAAAGCUUGGCCAGAUUUGAGGAGCUCUGUUAGCAGUACUGAAACAAUUAAGUUGCCCCUGGGGACACGCUACUAUUUCUGUGGUUGAAUAUACGGUGUUUUGGCUAAUUAGGGAUGGUUCUACAUCAAAAACGCUGCCACUCAUCAUCGCCUCAGCCUCGACAUCGACAUCGGCCACUUCGCCUUUUGGCACCCCAACCGUAAGCAAGGACGGUAACCUCGACGACAUCAUUGUCUAUUUCCUUACCAUUGCUUUGAUCGCUGGGAGCCUAUUGCAUACCUUACCCAUCAAGACUAGCGAGUUGAGAAUUGCCGGACCACAUUACUUGUGCACCGUAGUGUUCAUCUUAUGCCGCAUAGCUACAUUUAGCGUGCAAACAUUUUGUUAUCUGCAUUGUGCCAUAAGUCUCUCCCGUGCAUAUCCCUCAUACUUGUCUCAUAUAUAUUGGCUCGAGCAUCAAGCAUUGCCUAUAAAAAAAGAGAGAAAAAGAAGAAAAAGCGUUUAAGCAAAAGAGGAGAUACAAAAGAGCUUAUAAGCAAUAACAGUAGCAUCGCCAAAUUGCAUGUCAUAUUGGUAGCAUAUUAUAUCAUACUUGAUCAUCUUGGAUCAUCCAUACAUAACAUACUUUGGAUUAAAGACGACACGUUUACUCUUAUUGGUUGGUGCACAAGCGCGUAUCUAGCCCAUUUGAGCAACCGAGCUAUUGUCUCUCAAGUAUCCAUGCAACAAGAGCUUUUCCCGGGUCUCACAUAUCUUGUGCUCAUUCCUUGGUUGCACGGAUCCCAUUUAUUUAUCCGUGUGUGUGUUCCUAGUGCCACCAUAGCUAUUGAUCUAUUUGUUUUGCAUUGCAUUUUUGUGAAUCUUCCUCAGCAUUUUCGAUAUCUUGACUAACAUUUUGCUUGAAUUUUGUGCCACUUGUUCUAACCGAGCCACUCGAUAAGCUUUACUUUGUAGGUGUGAGGGAACAAGUACGGUACCAAUUCCACUAUUCUCUCCUUUCACAUUGAGUGAAACAGGAUACAUCCUCAACUUUGGGAAACGGUAUUGGUAUUGUUUAUCUCAUUUCGCACUAAUACUUGCUCGAGUCUUGCGAUGGCUAGGCAAAGCACAUCUACUUCGGUCUACGACCACAACGACGAGUUUGAUGCCAUGAAUAAAACCAUCGACGCCAAGAUGGAUGCUCAUUUGGAGGAGCUCAAAGCCCUCAUCAACAACCGCAUGAGAUCUUCAUCAUCUUCGAGGAGACUCUCAAGUGCACAUGCUUCUGAGCUACUAUCUCCGGCAAGAUCAAACCGGCAUCGACACCAUUACCGACAUGACAAACUAAUGGCGCAAACAUCAAGGCGUCCAAGGACGAACACGCGUGAAAGUCACGAGUUCGAUACCAACCAUUGCUCGAUGACUUCACCACCUACAUUGGCAUAUUCGCCAAGCGACUUCAAGGCAUCUCCGCCUUUGGAUAUGCGGCAUCUUCGCCAACAAACACUUCAGAAGCUUCCCAAGCUCAAGUUCACGACUUCCACGAGAUACCACGACUUUCACAUUGACUUCGAGAUUUCAUUCCAUGGGACUCAUGACCCCGAAGAGUACCUCAAGUGGGAGCACAAGAUGGACACCUACGUCAAGCUACUUCAAGUUCCUUUCGAAGGUCAAAAGAAGUGCACCACAAGAAACUUCCAUGACUACACGUCGACAUGGUGGCUUCACACAGCUUCGAAGAGCUUUGAGAUGAGUUGGUCCAAGACAAAGAAAGUUAUGCGAUAAGAGUUUGUGACCUCUACAUACACGGAACAUCUUCAACGCCAAUUGGAGAACACCAUACAAGGAUCCAAGCCCUUCAGCGAGUAGUUCAUAGAGAUGAAGAAAGCCUUGCGACGAGACGGAGUUGCCGACCCCAUUUGGAUGAAGUUCCACUUCAUGAUGGGAUUGAACAACGACAUCGCCAAGACUAUCUUCGCCAACACCUACAAGUCUCUCUAUGACCUCUACUUUGGUGCUCUCAUGGCAGAACAAGAACUCAAGGCCAAGAUGACUCGACCCCGAGCACACUUCGCGACAACCAAGCUCCACGACUACGAGCAUGAGGACGGUACCGCCAAGAUGUCGAAGCCCAACAAGCUCCUAAACGACACUCCCAAGUAUGACUUCACCGCCAUCCUUAUUUGUGGUGUUGACUAUGCCGAGUCUAUCACGAAUCUUUUUGAAGACGGUGUGGCGACGACCACGGCUACGGAGCCAAUCACGGAACAUGCUUUGGAGGCGAGUGACAAGGUGGCAAGCAAGGAUGAUGCUUCCAUCUUUGGAGGCGGGAGUGAUGAUGUGCCAUCUUCAGCCUUCAUCCACGGCAAUAGUGACGACAUGGUUGAGCAUGGGAUUUUCCCUUCGAGCACGUCGGCGUUUGGAGAUGAGUUCAGAGACUUUUGCCACCAUAUUGAGAGUGAGAGUGACUUCACCACUAGCCCCAUAUGUGAUGAGUUGCCCAAGUUCCCAUGUGAGGAGAGCCACAACCCCCACUACUUGAGUGAGAUGAGUGACUACACCAUAUGUGAGAAUGAGUGCAACUACCUAGAGGGAGUGUGUGAGCCACCACCACAUAGAGCAAGCGACGUAGUUGAUACAACAUGUGAGGCCAUUUUGAUUUCUAACAACUUAACCUCUACCUCUAUUGUGUCUUCUCCUUUGGUGCUAGGUCCCAUAUAUGAUGACGCGUCGAUCCUCGACUACUUCGUCCACCCAUUGGACAAGAUGAUGGCCAUGGUGGAAUAUGAUGCACCCCACAUGGUUCCAUCACGAUGACGAUGACCAUGAUUUGGUCUUUGGCACCUCACCUACACCACAUGAGUGGUAUGAAAAAGGUAACAUAGGUGAAGGUGAUGCUCUUGUCCCACUAGUGGACAUUGAUUGCUUGCAUGAUGAUGAUCCCCUAUAGCCACCACCAAGAGGACACCCUCGGAGCGCCGCAUCGCAUCAACACAUCGGCCGCUGCCAACGACCACCGUCGAUCCGCCACCAUCGACCAUGGAAUCCCCUUGCCGAUGUUUUCACCCCCCGUCGUGGUACAUCAUAAAGAGGGAAAUAAAAAGAAACUGGAAUUCUCGACCGGGAAACCGAGAAAAAGCAGAAAAAUCACCAGACUCCAAAUGAUCUAAAACUUCACGAAGAAUUUUUAUGAAAUAUUUAAGAAUUAUUGGGCUUAAAAUAUACCAGAGGGGGCCAUCUACUGGCCACAAGCCAACAGGGCGAGCCUACCCCUGGCACGCCCUGAUGUCUUGUGGAGCCCGAGCAAUGAUACGCCUCUAAUGUAUCGA